rnacentral:rRNA from 1 species
CCUACGGGAGACAGCAGUGGGGAAUAUUGCACAAUGGGGGAAACCCUGAUGCAGCGACGCCGCGUGAGUGAAGAAGUAAUUCGUUAUGUAAAGCUCUAUCAGCAGGGAAGAAAAUGACGGUACCUGAGUAAGAAGCCCCGGCUAACUACGUGCCAGCAGCCGCGGUAAUACGUAGGGGGCAAGCGUUAUCCGGAUUUACUGGGUGUAAAGGGAGCGUAGACGGCAGUGCAAGUCUGGAGUGAAAGGCGGGGGCUCAACCCCCGGACUGCUCUGGAAACUGUACGGCUGGAGUGCAGGAGAGGUAAGUGGAAUUCCUAGUGUAGCGGUGAAAUGCGUAGAUAUUAGGAGGAACACCAGUGGCGAAGGCGGCUUAAUGGACUGUAACUGACAUUGAUGCUCGAAAGUGUGGGUAUCAAACAGGAUUAGAUACCCCAGUAGUC